AGAGUUGAUCCUGGCUCAGAACGUACGCUGGCGGCACGCCUAACACAUGCAAGUCGAACGAAGUAGCAAUACUUAGUGGCAGACGGGUGAGUAACAUGUAGGUAUCUACCCUAUGGCCUGGAAUAACACGAGGAAACUUGUGCUAAUACCGGAUAAGUCUUUACGGAGAAAGCUUUAUGCACCAUUGGAUGAGCCCGCACUUGAUUAGUUUGUUGGUAGGGUAAUGGCCUACCAAGACUAUGAUCAAUAGCUGAUUUGAGAGGAUGAUCAGCCACAUUGGGACUGAGACACGGCCCAAACUCCUACGGGAGGCAGCAGUGGGGAAUCUUGCACAAUGGAGGAAACUCUGAUGCAGCGAUGCCGCGUGAGUGAAGAAGGCCUUUGGGUUGUAAAGCUCUUUCGUCGGGGAAGAAAAUGACUGUACCCGAAUAAGAAGGUCCGGCUAACUUCGUGCCAGCAGCCGCGGUAAUACGAAGGGACCUAGCGUAGUUCGGAAUUACUGGGCUUAAAGAGUUCGUAGGUGGUUGAAAAAGUUGGUGGUGAAAUCCCAGAGCUUAACUCUUGGAACUGCCAUCAAAACUUUUCAGCUAGAGUAUGAUAGAGGAAAGCAGAAUUUCUAGUGUAGAGGGUGAAA
rnacentral:rRNA from 1 species